rnacentral:rRNA from 1 species
UACGUAGGGGGCAAGCGUUGUCCGGAUUUAUUGGGCGUAAAGAGCUCGUAGGCGGUUCGACAAGCCGACGGUGAAAUCUCCACGCUCAACGUGGAGGGUCCGUCGGAACUGUCGUGACUAGAGUCCGGUAGGGAGUGUGGAAUUCCUGGUGUAGCGGUGAAUGCGCAGAUAUCAGGAGGAACACCAGCGGCGAAGGCGGCGCUCUGGGCCGGUACUGACACUGAGGUGCGAAAGCGUGGGGAGCAAACAGG